rnacentral:rRNA from 1 species
CCUACGGGGGGCAGCAGUGGGGAAUAUUGCACAAUGGGGGAAACCCUGAUGCAGCGACGCCGCGUGAGUGAAGAAGUAAUUCGUUAUGUAAAGCUCUAUCAGCAGGGAAGAAAAUGACGGUACCUGAGUAAGAAGCCCCGGCUAACUACGUGCCAGCAGCCGCGGUAAUACGUAGGGGGCAAGCGUUAUCCGGAUUUACUGGGUGGAAAGGGAGCGUAGACGGCAGUGCAAGUCUGGAGUGAAAGGCGGGGGCUCAACCCCCGGACUGCUGUGGAAACUGUACGGCUGGAGUGCAGGAGAGGUAAGUGGAAUUCCUAGUGUAGCGGUGAAAUGCGUAGAUAUUAGGAGGAACACCAGUGGCGAAGGCGGCUUACUGGACUGUAACUGACGUUGAGGCUCGAAAGCGUGGGGAGCAAACAGGAUUAGAUACCCCUGUAGUC